AUACGGAGGGGGCAAGCGUUACCCGGAUUUACUGGGUGUAAAGGGUCCGCAGGCGGUUAAGCAAGUCAGUUUUUAAAUACUCUGGCUCAACCAGAGAAUUGGAACAGAUACUGCUUAACUAUGAGUCUAGAGGGGGAAAACGGAACUGCCGGUGUAGCGGUGAAAUGCGUAGAUAUCGGCAGGAACACCUGUGGCGAAGGCGGUUUUCUACUCUGGUACUGACGCUCAUGGACGAAAGCGUGGGGAGCGAUCGGGAUUAGAUACCCCGGUAGUCCACGCCGUAAACGAUGGGUGCUGGGUGUCGGUCCGGUAAAACGGAUCGGUGCCGAAGUUAACACGUUAAGCACCCCACCUGGGGACUACGGCCGCAAGGUUGAA
rnacentral:rRNA from 1 species